GGAUUGUACUUGCGUAACAUGGACACAUGAAACACGUUAUGAAUCCUGAAUAGUUCUAAAGGUAGUGUCAGUCUGUAGAGGGUGAUAUCAAUUCUAUCUAAGAUUUUAGAUGUCCCAAUAAGCUAGGGUAUUGGCGAUGGCACUGCCGUGCUUUGGCGACGGCACCGCUGCCCGCAGAGGUGGUUUGCCUUGGAUUUGCUGUUUUAGCAAGUUUUGGCCGAUUUCGACUGAUUUUAUACUCAUUCUUGUGAAAAAAACACGUUUACGGGCCUUGGUUGGCCAAAAAAAGUUGAAAAACAGAAACUUACCGACGACGGAGUUUUCUUGUGCGGCAGCUCUGC
rnacentral:lncRNA from 1 species